UGCCCGGUAGCUAAAUGCGGAAGAGAUAAGUGCUGAAAGCAUCUAAGCACGAAACUUGCCCCGAGAUGAGUUCUCCCUGAGACUUUAAGUCUCCUGAAGGAACGUUGAAGACGACGACGUUGAUAGGCCGGGUGUGUAAGCGCAGCGAUGCGUUGAGCUAACCGGUACUAAUGAACCGUGAGGCUUAACCUU
rnacentral:rRNA from 5 species